GCAACAGGCGGAGGAAAAAAAAGUAGCCAUCAAACCCAUCGAUUCCUCAUUCUCUCGGCUGCCUCGUCGACUCCGACGGUGCCACCGUUCCCCUUUCGUCUCCACCUCGCGCGCGCAGCUCACGACGCUCGCCCUUGUCGCUUCCUGGCGAGGCCAUCCGCGGCCGCUGUUGCUUCUUCCUGGACGCCGCCACCAUCUCCCCACCCCCACGCGGCACCCCGUCUCGCCCUCUCUAGGGUUUUCUCGGAUCAAGAAUCGCUGUAAGCCACAUUUCCCCACCCGUGCUACUCCCGAAUCCGCAAUCCCCAUCCGAAGAUCCUUGCGACCUCCGCCCCAAGAGUCCUCGCCGCCGGCCAGCGCUACCAUCUUCUCGCAGUGCAAGCAGCCAUCGCCUUGUCGCCUUACUUGCCGGCGACCCAGCGCCGCUUCGUCGUCGUCGAGCUAGCGGCGCCGCAGCUCUCCCCUGGAGCCAUUGUCCUGCACCACCUCCCCGCGGACACGGUGCCGGCUGCAGCCGUAGUCUUCUCGUGGAUCCACCGGCCAACACCGCCACCAACCAUCUCGUCCACGGCCAUCUCCUCGCUUCUCAUGGCUGCUGCUCGUCGGCUCCUCCACACCUCUCCAGUUGGUACUGCCAUGCUCUGUGCGUAGGAUACACACUGGUCUGGGAUAUCAAUAAUGUUCCUCUUCCAUUGUUACAGGUUUCAUGGCUUUGCAGAUGCUUUUGUAGCUUUCAUGUGAUGACGAGGGCCUUCAUUUGUGCGAAUAUACACGAGUUGCUGGCAUUUCUUCAUUUUGCAUAGUACAAACUCUGCUGGUAUGUGCAAAUGAGGCCAUAUGGAUGGUUCAUCACCAUGAGGCUUCAAUCCAUAGUAACCGGCAAGGUUGCGCGGUUGCACUAAACAAUAGGACUGCAUUUCUGCUCUCUCAUCUGUUUGUGUUGUUUGUUCAUCUCUCUUGAACAGGUCACAAAUUUAUAAUAACAGGAUUGAUGUGCAAAUCUGAUUAGAAAAGGGAGUAAACUACAGACAGAUCAUGACUCUUUUCACUUUUUACUGAUGACAUGCUUCCUCAGUUAAUGAUGCUUUUAUUGAUCCGCUGCUUCUUCCACUCCAUGCGGUACACCUGUGAAAUGUGCCUGCUUUGACUAUUUUGUAUACAACAAUACAAGUACCCACCUCUUUCCUCUUGACAAGUGCCCACCUCUCCAUCAACCCCUUUCCUUCUCUCUAGGACCUACCGGACUCUGACGCGCACGCUACCCCAGGCACACGUCCCAUCGCUGCAGCCCGCGUCCAGACGAGAGCUGUAUGGCUCGGCCGACGCCGACGCCGACGCUCGCCCGACCCACACCGCGCGAUUCGAUUCGCACGCCCACGCCCACGCACUUCCCGCCGCUCGCGGGUAGACAACCAGUAUCCCCUACCGCUCUCUACUCUCUAGUCUCUCCUUUAAACUUCCUGGUGCUGCGGCGCCUUCUGUUUAUGCGGACACGGCCAAAGGCAGGGCGGUGUGUCCAGAGCAAAGGGCCGCACGGUGGGUGGCAGGUUGGCAGGCGCCGCUGGGCACAGAAUGCAGCACAAAGGCUUUAUUAACGGUGUGGGGACUGGGGAUUGGCUGAGGACGGCGAGGGGAGCGGGAGUGGCGCAGCGACGCGGCGGAGUGGCAGGGCCCGUGGUCAGAUGACAUCACCGCGCGCGCGAUGGGUCACGUGAGGGCGGUGUAGUUGGCCUGUGGGUUAUGGCCUGGAUCAGUCUGUACCAGCGGCGCCGGGCACGUUGGGUGACGGCCGAAACUGUACGGAUAGCGCAAAAUGUGGGGAUCCGGACGGCAUCGUCCUUGACGGCACCUCAUCCUUGGUGGGUUCCAAAAUCCACCGGGUGUAUAAUAUUAAAUCUUUAGUUUUCCUCGGCCACUAUCGACAGUAAAUCGGUCCCUGAGAGGCCUCCGAUCUGCUACAGUAUAACAGUGCCCUUUCCCCACAUCAGCUGUCCGAUCCGGCAGUCACGGCACAUCACAACCGUCCACCUCCCCAUCACCUCCCCCAAUUCCCAGUCGGUCGUGCCCUAAUCCCUCAUUUCCUCUCCCCUUCCUACGCGCCGCCGCCGCCGCCACCGCGACUCCUCGCAUUCGUCCCCACCACAUCCGAGCCAGCGGCCGCCCGCCCGCCGUCGCUACCUCCUCCUCGAGCCAGCGGCCGGCACCACCACCUUCCCACGGAGCCAGCGACCGGCGCUAUGUUCUCACGGAGCCGGGCGCGGUGCCAUCUUCUCGCGGAGUCACUGGCCCGCACCGCCGCUACCUUCUUCUCCUCAUAGAGCCAGGGAUGUCGACACCAUCGCCGUCUGUGUCCGCUUCUUCGCACAGCUACGCCAGCUUGCGGCCACUACUACACCAGGAUUUGGGUGUGGGUGGAGCAAGUGUGCCAGCCACUGCACCGCCGUCCACUCCCAUGAGAAAGUCAGCUCCAUCAAGAUGAACGAACAUCCAGCCACUUGCGCGCUCCUCCAUUUGCUGCCGUAUGAGGAUGAGGCAGGCAGCUCCAGUUAGGUCACUACUCUGCUGAAAAAAGAAAACUGAGUCCUGGUACCGAAUCUAGCAUUUGCUUCUUUUCCUUUCAGAUCUGGAUUUUAAUUCACUGGUCUGCCUUUUGUUAUUUUUAAUUAUUUUGUUCUAUUGAUUAGUCUCAUCAAUCUUUACUCUACAAAUGAUGAUUUACAUGGUCAUUAUUCCAUCCAGAAGAAAUGCACAGACUGUUUUACAAGGCAAACAUAUUGAAGGGUUGUUCUAUCUCGACCAAAGUUUCUCAGAUUAUUUUGCCUGCUGCUGCAUUGUAAUACUCAUAAGCUAUAUUACCAUCAUCGAAUCCUCAUCCGGAUACGCAGCUGUGUUUUUGUUGUAUAGUGUCCAAUGAAUCUCUGAGCAACCCUGUUAUACUGGAAUAAAAUUAAGGUACACAACUUUGUUAUUGUUUCGUUAAAUACUUGCAGAUUUCAGAGUUCAUCACAAGCUUUCAUUUCUUUACUAUAUAUAAUCUUGCAGUUGCAGACAGGACACAUGACUUUGAUCAUGGUUUAGCAUCAGCUGUCUGGGAAUCUUUGAAAUUCCUAAAGCUAAAUAUAUAGGACACUCGUGUCCUAUAUAUGCUAGCAGUUGAAAUGCUUCACAAACAUAGUCUACAAGUAUCUGUUGUUGAUUAGCGCAGUGAAUAUUGUCGUAGCCACAAAACUGCACAACGAUUUUACUUGGUUUUAGUUUUCUUAUUGCUUUUGCUUAUAUAAGAGUUACGCCAUAUUACAAAUAGUAACUGUUAGCUUUAAAUCUUUUUGUUUACCUAAUGAUUCAACUGGAGGAAAAGUUCAAGCUAGCUACUGCAGAUAAUCAGUUUUGCUUUAAUUACCUUGAUCAGUCUGUAAGUGAUAAUCAGUUUUGCUUUGGUUAUGUUUAAUGCCUUCAUUAUUAACUUUGGUUGGAAGUUCAAGCGUCAGUUAAAGUUUCAUCUGUUGGUUUAUUCACAUUAUCAUGCCAUAUAAUCCUGUGACAAGGCUUACAUUUCUGAAGCUUUGUCCUAACAUAUCUGCAAUUCUGUAUGGGUGCCGUGUUGUUCAAGAGAUGCGUUCUUUUCUACCUUAGUACCAACAGACUUCCGCUUCAUGGUUCACUUCACAAAUCUUUCUCCACAUGUUGUUUAUUUAUCUUAAACGAGCAGGAUGGAAUGCUUCAUAGGCUGCUUCAAGGAAUGGGACGUAAAAAAUGUGACCAGCAAUCCUAUAGUUCUGGUUCUACAUAUAUGUGAUCACUGUAAAUACACAGCUAACUUGCUUCAUGUUGCUCACUGAUAUUUGUUUUUCUGGUCACUUAUGGAUGCUUAUAUUAUUUGUUUCUCACUGGUAUAUCUUUCAGGAUAGUUCAUUUUAUAAUAAUUUGUCAUUCAAAUUUUAUUUCAUACAGAUAGGCAAGCCCUCUAUUUUCCAGAUUGAUAGGGGGGGGGGGAACAUCGAAAAGAUAUGCACCUCUUCCUUCUUUGUACAGCUGAAGUGGUGCCUUAUGACAGCUCAUAAGAAUUUGACAUUGGCAUUGUGCCAGGCUCUGUUGCUGCUAUCCAACCUCCACAUAAACAUUGUGCCUUAUUUUGGUGAUAUGGGUGCUUUAGGUAUAGACCUCUGUCGUCGCUCGCGCCUGCGCUGGCCUCACGGUGACGGCCUCCAUGCCUCCGGCCUCGCUGACGGCCGCGACGUGCAGCCGCCGUGCUGGCCUCACGCCGUCCUCCUCCUCCGCCACCGGCCACGGGAGCGCCUCCACCAUGCCGCCGUCGGAGUCGCCCACUCGCCGUGGGCUUCGUCGCCGCCCGCACCCGAUCUGGCCACGGGAGGGCCAGAUCUGCCGCACACCACUCCGGCCGCCUGCUCCCGCGUCCGACGCGCGCCGCUCGGCCUCCUCCGCGCCCCGUCGCGCCGCCACGAACGGCUGUGACCGCCGUCCGGCCGCGCCAACCUGUGCCCCGCCGUGCCAGCCACGGUCCCCGCCAGAUCCGGCGUGAGAGCGACGGACCCCGACGCCCCUGAUGAUGUAUUCAAUCUAUUGACGGUUCCAUUCUCGACGAAACAAGUAACCAAAUAGUACUCAUAUUACUCUUCUUCCAAUUUGUUUUACAUUCCGAAAACUAGUAAUUAAUCGGGAUGAAAUCAAACAAUGGCUUGGAUUUGGAAUCAACUUCUUGAGGGCGUCAUCCGAUAAGACUGGCCUUGCCUUCAUACUUGUAGGUGUCUUUUUAAUAAUGGAAAAUUUUUCCGUUUUGGCACCUGCUGAAACAUUA